ncrna:unclassified sequences DTF3800-I RNA
UGAUGGUGCAGGCAGAGAUGCACUGUAUGCCCGUGUAACCGAAUUGACGUUUAAGCGAUAUGUAAUAUCGUCGGCCACGGGGAAGCCGCCUUCGGGCGGCUUUUUUUGCAUGA